rnacentral:tRNA from 1 species
GUCCAGUGGCGCAAUCGGUCAGCGCGCAGUACUUAUAAGCACAGUAUCUGAGAAAUGCUGAGGUUGUGAGUUCGAGCCUCACCUGGAACA